rnacentral:rRNA from 1 species
CACGUAGGGCGCGAGCGUUGUCCGGAAUUAUUGGGCGUAAAGAGCUCGUAGGCGGCCUGUUGCGUCCGCUGUGAAAGCCCGGGGCUUAACCCCGGGUCGGCAGUGGAUACGGGCAGGCUAGAGGUAGGUAGGGGAGAAUGGAAUUCCUGGUGUAGCGGUGGAAUGCGCAGAUAUCAGGAGGAACACCGGUGGCGAAGGCGGGUCUCUGGGCCGUUACUGACGCUGAGGAGCGAAAGCGUGGGGAGCGAACAGG